CUACGGGGCGCUGCAGUGAGGAAUUUUGCGCAAUGUGGGACCCCCUUACGCAGCAACGCCGCGUGAGUGAUGAAGAUUUUCGGAUCGUAAAGCUCUGUCAAGUGGGAAAAAAGGUUUUCGGUUAAUACCCGAAAGCUCUGAUGGUACCACUGGAGGAAGCACCGGCUAACUCCGUGCCAGCAGCCGCGGUAAUAGCGGAGGGUGCAAGCGUUGUUCGGAAUUACUGGGCGUAAAGAGCGUGUAGGCGGUUUGGGAAGUCAGAUGUGAAAGCCCUGGGCUUAACCCAGGAAGUGCAUUUGAAACUCCCAAACUAGAGUAUGGGAGAGGAGAGUGGAAUUCCCAGUGUAGAGGUGAAAUUCGUAGAUAUUGGGAGGAACAUCGGUGGCGAAGGCGACUCUCUGGAACAAUACUGACGCUGAGACGCGAAAGCGUGGGGAGCAAACAGGAUUAGAUACCCUAGUAGUC
rnacentral:rRNA from 1 species